UGAUACUAGGUGGAGAACCGAUCCAUUCACAACUUUGCAUCAGAGAUAGGCCGACUUUUGCAAGGCGAUGAGCAGCAGUGUUUGCGUUUCGGCGAAUGUGGGUGAUAUUUGCUUCAGUGAUUGUAUUGAGUAACGCUUUCUUUUGUUUGGAAAUAAAGAAAAGAAAUACGAAAGAAGAAGAGAGAAUUGGGAUCCUGUUUGUGAGCGAAGGGGCAGGGUUUGGGGUCUACCAAAUUACCAAUGGCUGCAUGCAGUGCAUGCAUAGCUACUUGAUAUAUGCAGGGACACCACUGGGGAAUACGUAUGGUAAUUGGUAUGGGGUUCCUAGCCGACAGUAUGCUGAUCAAUUAACUUAAGGCUUCGUUUGGUGAUUUGGAUGGGACCAAACUUUCUUCUUUGAUUUUUGAUGCAGAUUGCAGAUAACUGCCCUGGACUUGUGCAACCCACCACAACUUCCUAAGCCCUGUACACCUCUUUCAAACCACCAACCCACUCCUUAACCCACCGUUGGAAAAAAUUGCACAUAUUACUUUCUCAUAACAAUGCAUAUUAGUUAGGCAUGAUAAUGCCUAUAUAAUGUGAAAUCUUAGUGCAUUAGUUAGAGUGUAUUCUCAUAAUCGGAUAUUAGAUUGUCUUAUUGAGAGAGUUCAAACACUUUUUGGAUCACGGUACCCUUUAUUAACAGAAAUGCAGAAAAACACAGAAAUGCAAAAAGAGCAUGUAUUGAUCGAAGAAAUGCAGAGAGAGAGAGAGAGAGAGAGAGAGAGGGAGUGAUUGAUUACAUUGAUACUGAAUUAAUUUUUACAACUAUGAGAAUACAAUUUAUAUAGCCAUCAUGACUAGCUUGCAUCCUAAGCUAUUUAACUAACUAAUUCGAUAACAAUUAUAACAACGCAGCCACAUGCUCAACUGUUUAACUAACUAUUGUUGAGCUGGAAUGAUAAAUUCAACAUCCCCCUCAAUCUCAAUUGGGUUUCCCAGUUUAAGAUUGAAUGAUGGAGUCGAUUCAGCACUUGUCGUUGCUACAGAGGCGAAUCAGCGCACAUGACAGAUACGAAAAGUUUCAAAGUUAGAAUCUAUUAGCAAACUAAAAUUCAUCAAAACUUGAGAAAAGUUUCAAAGUUUAUUAUUGAAUGAAAAACAAAAUACAACCCUAUCACCAUGAGGUUGCUUAGAGUAACUCCACCCCUAAAAAAAUGCGCCAGCACCCAGCCAUUUAAUCCACUCAUUGAGCAGUGAUAAGACCCAAUGAACAAUAAUUAGCCAAAAGCAUAUCCACCCCUAAAAAAUAUGUU
rnacentral:lncRNA from 1 species